AUGACGUUGCAGCUGCAGCGAUCCGCGGUCGUCUCCGGCAAGGAGCCGGAGCCGGAGACAGGGCAGGAGCAGGAGGUGGUGGCGCACGUCUACGAUGUCGCCUGCAGCGGCCCCGACGGCGCCGGGGGCGGCGGCGCCACCGUCCUCCAGAUCAACCGCAUCUUCAAGGACGGCAUCGGCCUCGGCGGCAUCUUCCACACCGCCAUCCAGGUCUAUGGUAACGAGGAAUGGUCAUUCGGCUACUGCGAGAACGGCAGCGGGGUUUUCAGCUGCCCCCCGGCCAAGAACCCCAUGUACACAUUCCGCGAGUCCAUUGUGCUGGGGAAGACGAGCUGCUCGCCACGCACAGUAAAUCAGAUAGCACGGGAGCUCAGCCGGGAAUGGCCUGGAGCCUCAUACGAGCUCCUCUCGAGGAACUGCAACCACUUCUGCAACGAGUUUUGCGACAAGCUCGGCGUGCCAAAACUUCCAGGUUGGGUCAAUCGCUUUGCUAAUGCUGGAGACGCAGCUCUGGAGGCUGCUGAAACUACAGCGGAAAAGCUCAAACAGGCGAAAAAGGAGAUUUUUACUGCAUGCAAAGCUGCAUCCACAUAUUUGACUGGUUCGCCUUCGAGUACACCAUCAGAUGCGGAUGAUACAGCUGGCUCAGCAAGCAAUACUCUUUUCGAGGGGGCAUGGAUCAGAAGCAUUAUUGGCAUCAGUAUGAAGCCAUCGAAGAGCCUUAUGAAUGAUGCAUCGUCAAGUUCAGAUGAUGAAACAUCUGAUGACAAGAGCGAAACAGAUGGUAAACAGCCUGGUAGGGAUCAAAAUGAGGGCGAAAAGGAUGCAAGACAAGAAGAUCAAGGCACGAAAAGCGAGAACAAACCGCCCAAUCAUCAUUCAUGA
rnacentral:rRNA from 1 species